rnacentral:rRNA from 1 species
AACGAACGCUGGCGGCAGGCUUAACACGUGCAAGUCGAACGCCCCGCAAGGGGAGUGGCAGACGGGUGAGUAACGCGUGGGAACGUACCUUUCAGUUCGGAAUAACUCAGGGAAACUUGUGCUAAUACCGGAUACGUCCGUAAGGAGAAAGAUUUAUCGCUGAAAGAUCGGCCCGCGUUGGAUUAGCUAGUUGGUGGGGUAAUGGCCUACCAAGGCGACGAUCCAUAGCUGGUCUGAGAGGAUGAUCAGCCACACUGGGACUGAGACACGGCCCAGACUCCUACGGGAGGCAGCAGUGGGGAAUAUUGGAUAAUGGGCGAAAGCCUGAUCCAGCCAUGCCGCGUGAGUGAUGAAGGCCCUAGGGUUGUAAAGCUCUUUCACCGAUGAAGAUAAUGACGGUAGUCGGAGAAGAAGCCCCGGCUAACUUCGUGCCAGCCGCCGCGGUAA